rnacentral:rRNA from 1 species
UACGAAGGGGGCUAGCGUUGUUCGGAAUUACUGGGCGUAAAGCGUAGGUAGGCGGUUUUCCAAGUCAGGGGUGAAAUCCCGGAGCUUAACUCCGGAAUUGCCUUUGAAACUGGAAAGCUGGAGAAAGUUAGAGGCAAGUGGAAUUCCUAGUGUAGGAGUGAAAUCCGUAGAUAUUAGGAGGAACAUCGAUGGCGAAGGCAGCUUGCUGGGACUUUUCUGACGCUGAGCUACGAAAGCGUGGGUAGCAAACAGG